rfam:Loxodonta africana unplaced genomic scaffold scaffold_20, whole genome shotgun sequence.
AAUCAGGAUUUUCUUUUAAAUCCACCCAUUAGGCAAAAAAAAAUUUUUU